rnacentral:rRNA from 1 species
UACAGAGGUCUCAAGCGUUGUUCGGAUUCAUUGGGCGUAAAGGGUGCGUAGGUGGCGCUGUAAGUCGGGUGUGAAAUUUCGGAGCUUAACUCCGAAACUGCAUUCGAUACUGCGGUGCUUGAGGACUGGAGAGGAGACUGGAAUUCAUGGUGUAGCAGUGAAAUGCGUAGAGAUCAUGAGGAAGACCAGUGGCGAAGGCGAGUCUCUGGACAGUUACCGACGCUGAGGCACGAAGGUCAGGGGAGCAAACGGG